GGUCUACUCCCUCCGUUCCAAAUUACUCGUCGCAGAAAUGGAUGUAUCUAGAACCAAAAUACAUCUAGAUACAUUCAUACUUGCGACAAGUAAUUCAGAAUGGAGAGAGUGUUCA
rfam:Triticum aestivum genome assembly, contig: Triticum_aestivum_CS42_TGACv1_scaffold_556119_7AL